rnacentral:rRNA from 1 species
CCUACGGGAGGCAGCAGUGGGGAAUUUUGGACAAUGGGCGCAAGCCUGAUCCAGCAAUGCCGCGUGAGUGAAGAAGGCCUUCGGGUUGUAAAGCUCUUUUGUCAGGGAAGAAACGGUGGUUCCUAAUACGGACUACUAAUGACGGUACCUGAAGAAUAAGCACCGGCUAACUACGUGCCAGCAGCCGCGGUAAUACGUAGGGUGCAAGCGUUAAUCGGAAUUACUGGGCGUAAAGCGUGCGCAGGCGGUUAUAUAAGUCAGAUGUGAAAUCCCCGGGCUCAACCUGGGAACUGCAUUUGAGACUGUAUGGCUAGAGUGUGUCAGAGGGGGGUAGAAUUCCACGUGUAGCAGUGAAAUGCGUAGAUAUGUGGAGGAAUACCGAUGGCGAAGGCAGCCCCCUGGGAUAACACUGACGCUCAUGCACGAAAGCGUGGGGAGCAAACAGGAUUAGAUACCCUGGUAGUCCACGCCCUAAACGAUGUCUACUAGUUGUCGGGACUUAAUUGUCUUGGUAACGCAGCUAACGCGUGAAGUAGACCGCCUGGGGAAGUACGGUGCAAGAUUAAAACGUUNAAAGGAAUUGACGG